CAGCAGCCGCGGGAAUACGGAGGAUCCAAGCGUUAUCCGGAAUCAUUGGGUUUAAAGGGUCCGUAGGCGGUCUUGUAAGUCAGUGGUGAAAGCCCAUCGCUCAACGGUGGAACGGCCAUUGAUACUGCAGGACUUGAAUUAUUGGGAAGUAACUAGAAUAUGUAGUGUAGCGGUGAAAUGCUUAGAGAUUACAUGGAAUACCAAUUGCGAAGGCAGGUUACUACCAAUUGAUUGACGCUGAUGGACGAAAGCGUGUGUAGCGAACAGGAUUAGAUACCCGAGUAGUCCCUGUCUCUUAUAU
rnacentral:rRNA from 1 species